UGAGGAAUAUUGGGCAAUGCCCGCAAGGGUGACCCAGCAACGCCGCGUGGAGGAUGAAUGUCGUAAGAUUGUAAACUCCUGUUAGAGGGGAAGAAUAGUACCGGUUGGACCGGUAUAUGACUGUACCCUCAGAGAAAGCCCCGGCUAACUACGUGCCAGCAGCCGCGGUAAUACGUAGGACCCAAGCGUUGUCCGGAUUUACUGGGUGUAAAGGGUGCGCAGGCGGAUGGGUAAGUCAGGGGUGAAAGUCUGCAGCUUAACUGUAGAAUUGCCUUUGAUACUGCUCAUCUUGAGUGUGGGAGAGGUUGAUGGAAUUCCAGGUGUAGCAGUGAAAUGCGUAGAUAUCUGGAAGAACACCAGUGGCGAAGGCGGUCAACUGGCCCAUAACUGACGCUCAUGCACGAAAGCGUGGGGAGCAAACA
rnacentral:rRNA from 1 species